rnacentral:rRNA from 1 species
GACGGAAGGUGCAAGCGUUGCUCGGAAUCACUGGGCGUAAAGGGUGCGUAGGCGGCCGUGCAAGUCUGGCGUGAAAGCCCCGGGCUCAGCCCGGGAAGUGCGCUCGAAACUGCGCGGCUCGAGUGCCGGAGGGGAGAGUGGAAUUCCUGGUGUAGCGGUGAAAUGCGCAGAUAUCAGGAGGAACACCAAUGGCGAAAGCAGGUACCUGGACCAUUACUGACACUCAGCUGCGAAAGCUAGGGGAGCAAACAGG